rnacentral:rRNA from 1 species
UACGUAGGGUGCGAGCGUUAAUCGGAAUUACUGGGCGUAAAGCGUGCGCAGGCGGUUUUGUAAGACAGGCGUGAAAUCCCCGAGCUCAACUUGGGAAUUGCGCUUGUGACUGCAAGGCUAGAGUGUGUCAGAGGGGGGUAGAAUUCCACGUGUAGCAGUGAAAUGCGUAGAGAUGUGGAGGAAUACCGAUGGCGAAGGCAGUCCCCUGGGUCAAGACUGACGCUCAUGCACGAAAGCGUGGGGAGCAAACAGG